CCCUCUCCUCCCGCAUCCUCCCGCUCCUCCCGCAUCCUCCCGCUCCUCCCGCAUCCUCCCGCGGCUCCGCGGCUCCCCGCGGUGCCAUCCCUCGCUGUCUCCCCGGCAGGACGAGAAGCAGCGGCUACCGAGGAUGCCGCACAGCCCCCGAGAGACUCCGGGUUCUGGCCGGCCGUGGUGGGCUGUGGCUGCGUGGCCGUGGUUGUGGCGUUCCUGGCCGGGCUCUGCGUGAGGAAGAGGUUUGCAACCAUCACAGCCCUGGAGAGGAUGGGGAACAGCAGCAGCAAGAACAAAGCAGAGGAAGCGAUUUACUCCUCAAUCCCCGGAGCUGAGCUGCCCAAGGCUGAGCAGGAAGCAAAGAAGAAGAGGAGAGCUGAGGACACCUACAUAACCAUGCACCCUUCUCACGGCCGCGACAACGGAGUCUACGUGGAGCUGGCCAAGAGGGCGAUCCCGACGGAAUGGAUGGCAGAGGGGACACAGGGAGAAGGGCAGAGCCAGGAGCCCCCCAGCAGGUCAGGGGAGGCACUCCCCCGGCCUCCAGAGCAGCAGAAAUAGCUGUGCUGAGGGAUGGCAGCCCCUUGUCCAGGUGUGUCCGAAACACCUUUGUCCCUCCGAGGACUGAGAACCGGUGACAUGUCACUGUGUGCCCUGUGCCAGGGCACUGCUGGGGCACAGCCCACCCCAGCUGUCUGCAGGGGACCAGGGGACACCUGUCCCUCCGGCUCUUGCCCCCUGGACUCUGGAGAGAGUGGGCACAGCCUCAGGCUCCAGCUUUGGUCCUGGCCCAGGAU
rnacentral:lncRNA from 1 species